AGCUCCAUUAGCGUAUAUUAAUGUUGUUGCAGUUAAAAAGCUCGUAGUUGAAUUUCUGGGCAGUUCUCUUUGUCAACCUUCGCUGGUGUGUACAAAGUUGGGCUGUUCAUCCUUCAGAAGAACCUAUGUGUCCUUCACUGGUCAUGUAGGGGAUCUGAUAUUUUACCUUGAAAAAAUUAGAGUGUUUCAGGCAGGCAAUCGCUGGAAUACAUUAGCAUGGAAUAAUAGAAUAGGAUUUUGGUUCUAUUUGUUGGUUUUUAGGACCUAAGUAAUGAUUAAUAGGGAUAGUUGGGGGCAUUAGUAUUUAAUUGUCAGAGGUGAAAUUCAUGGAUUUGUUAAAGACUAACUUAUGCGAAAGCAUUUGCCAAGGAUGUUUUCAUUAAUCAAGAACGAAAGUACG
rnacentral:rRNA from 1 species